UUAAGUUAUUAAGGGCGCACGGUGGAUGCCUUGGCACUAGAAGCCGAUGAAGGACGUUACUAACGACGAUAUGCUUUGGGGAGCUGUAAGUAAGCUUUGAUCCAGAGAUUUCCGAAUGGGGAAACCCAGCAUGAGUUAUGUCAUGUUAUCGAUAUGUGAAUACAUAGCAUAUCAGAAGGCACACCCGGAGAACUGAAACAUCUUAGUACCCGGAGGAAGAGAAAGAAAAUUCGAUUCCCUUAGUAGCGGCGAGCGAAACGGGAAGAGCCCAAACCAACAAGCUUGCUUGUUGGGGUUGUAGGACACUCUAUACGGAGUUACAAAGGACGACAUUAGACGAAUCAUCUGGAAAGAUGAAUCAAAGAAGGUAAUAAUCCUGUAGUCGAAAAUGUUGUCUCUCUUGAGUGGAUCCUGAGUACGACGGAGCACGUGAAAUUCCGUUGGAAUCUGGGAGGACCAUCUCCUAAGGCUAAAUACUCUCUAGUGACCGAUAGUGAACCAGUACCGUGAGGGAAAGGUGAAAAGCACCCCGGAAGGGGAGUGAAAUAGAACCUGAAACCGUGUGCUUACAAGUAGUCAGAGCCCGUUAAUGGGUGAUGGCGUGCCUUUUGUAGAAUGAACCGGCGAGUUACGAUUUGAUGCAAGGUUAAGCAGUAAAUGUGGAGCCGUAGCGAAAGCGAGUCUGAAUAGGGCGUUUAGUAUUUGGUCGUAGACCCGAAACCAGGUGAUCUACCCUUGGUCAGGUUGAAGUUCAGGUAACACUGAAUGGAGGACCGAACCGACUUACGUUGAAAAGUGAGCGGAUGAACUGAGGGUAGCGGAGAAAUUCCAAUCGAACCUGGAGAUAGCUGGUUCUCUCCGAAAUAGCUUUAGGGCUAGCCUCAAGUGAUGAUUAUUGGAGGUAGAGCACUGUUUGGACGAGGGGCCCCUCUCGGGUUACCGAAUUCAGACAAACUCCGAAUGCCAAUUAAUUUAACUUGGGAGUCAGAACAUGGGUGAUAAGGUCCGUGUUCGAAAGGGAAACAGCCCAGACCACCAGCUAAGGUCCCAAAAUAUAUGUUAAGUGGAAAAGGAUGUGGCGUUGCCCAGACAACUAGGAUGUUGGCUUAGAAGCAGCCAUCAUUUAAAGAGUGCGUAAUAGCUCACUAGUCGAGUGACACUGCGCCGAAAAUGUACCGGGGCUAAACAUAUUACCGAAGCUGUGGAUUGUCCUUUGGACAAUGGUAGGAGAGCGUUCUAAGGGCGUUGAAGCAUGAUCGUAAGGACAUGUGGAGCGCUUAGAAGUGAGAAUGCCGGUGUGAGUAGCGAAAGACGGGUGAGAAUCCCGUCCACCGAUUGACUAAGGUUUCCAGAGGAAGGCUCGUCCGCUCUGGGUUAGUCGGGUCCUAAGCUGAGGCCGACAGGCGUAGGCGAUGGAUAACAGGUUGAUAUUCCUGUACCACCUAUAAUCGUUUUAAUCGAUGGGGGGACGCAGUAGGAUAGGCGAAGCGUGCGAUUGGAUUGCACGUCUAAGCAGUAAGGCUGAGUAUUAGGCAAAUCCGGUACUCAUUAAGGCUGAGCUGUGAUGGGGAGAAGACAUUGUGUCUUCGAGUCGUUGAUUUCACACUGCCGAGAAAAGCCUCUAGAUAGAAAAUAGGUGCCCGUACCGCAAACCGACACAGGUAGUCAAGAUGAGAAUUCUAAGGUGAGCGAGCGAACUCUCGUUAAGGAACUCGGCAAAAUGACCCCGUAACUUCGGGAGAAGGGGUGCUCUUUAGGGUUAACGCCCAGAAGAGCCGCAGUGAAUAGGCCCAAGCGACUGUUUAUCAAAAACACAGGUCUCUGCUAAACCGUAAGGUGAUGUAUAGGGGCUGACGCCUGCCCGGUGCUGGAAGGUUAAGAGGAGUGGUUAGCUUCUGCGAAGCUACGAAUCGAAGCCCCAGUAAACGGCGGCCGUAACUAUAACGGUCCUAAGGUAGCGAAAUUCCUUGUCGGGUAAGUUCCGACCCGCACGAAAGGCGUAACGAUUUGGGCACUGUCUCAACGAGAGACUCGGUGAAAUCAUAGUACCUGU
rnacentral:rRNA from 1 species